CUCUGUGCCCGCAUGAGGCCCAGGGCGGAAAGAG
rnacentral:ncRNA from 1 species